UACGUAGGGGGCUAGCGUUGUCCGGAUUUAUUGGGCGUAAAGAGCGUGUAGGCGGCCAGGCAGGUCCGCUGUGAAAACUCGAGGCUCAACCUCGAGAGGUCGGUGGAAACCGUUUGGCUAGAGUCCGGAAGAGGAGAGUGGAAUUCCCGGUGUAGCGGUGAAAUGCGCAGAUAUCGGGAAGAACACCCGUGGCGAAGGCGGCUCUCUGGGACGGUACUGACGCUGAGACGCGAAAGCGUGGGGAGCGAACAGG
rnacentral:rRNA from 1 species